ACUCUACAAUACGACAUCCAGAGGAGAUUUCUAACCCAAGUAAUAGUUUCAUCAGCCUUUCCAUUUACAGGAAGAUAACCUGCCUAAUGUGGACAAGCCAGAGCCCAUACAUAUCCCUAGCAUUCAAGAGCGAGUGGACACUCUAGUCGCUAGGUUUAAAGGCAAGCCUGACAGGAAGGACAAGCCACAGGUUACGAAAAAGCCAUCACGGUUCUUUGAGCAGUGGCUUUUGACCCACAGCCUCAGUCCUGAGCAACCCUUCUACCCUUCUGACCCCCAGCAUCAGCAGAGGGAGGUUUUGCGUUCUGAUGAUCACGUGCCUUUACACAUUCCCAGCAUUCAGGAGAGAACCGAGAGGUUAGCCUCUCAGUUUAAAGACAAACCAGCAAAGCCAAAGGUGAACUCUCAGCACUGGCUGUCCUUGAAUACACACUUUUUUCCAUGCACAGCCUUAAACCGUUGAUGCAUUUUAGCAGUUAAGCAGUCUUUUGGCCUUAUAACACAGAUUUGGCAAAAAACACUCCUUAAGUGUGGUAAAAUCACUGUAACAUGGCCUCUUGUGGCUUAUUGCUUUUAUAAAUAAUCAAUCGUUUUGGAAGCAGCAAUAUA